AGUGAACGCUGGCGGCAGGCCUAACACAUGCAAGUCGAACGAAGUCUUCGGACUUAGUGGCGGACGGGUGAGUAACACGUGGGAACGUGCCUUUAGGUUCGGAAUAACUCAGGGAAGCUUGUGCUAAUACCGAAUGUGCCCUUCGGGGGAAAGAUUUAUCGCCUUUAGAGCGGCCCGCGUCUGAUUAGCUAGUUGGUGAGGUAAAGGCUCACCAAGGCGACGAUCAGUAGCUGGUCUGAGAGGAUGAUCAGCCACAUUGGGACUGAGACACGGCCCAAACUCCUACGGGAGGCAGCAGUGGGGAAUCUUGCGCAAUGGGCGAAAGCCUGACGCAGCCAUGCCGCGUGAAUGAUGAAGGUCUUAGGAUUGUAAAAUUCUUUCACCGGGGACGAUAAUGACGGUACCCGGAGAAGAAGCCCCGGCUAACUUCGUGCCAGCCGCCGCGGUAAUAC
rnacentral:rRNA from 1 species